UGUAACGGGCUUUCCUGAUCGUGUGCGGAAGUGAUGGAGGAUGCCGUUCCUCUGUGUGCAAAUCGAGCGCCGUCCUCCCACUUCUCUGGCGGCGGCGCUUCCUCCCUCGGUGCCUUCAACUUCCCCAUCGUAGCCCCCAUCGAGGUAACGACCCUUCUGUCUCCUCAUACACACAACCUAAUUAAUAUAUGUUGUCAUCUGCGUAUUCUUAGCACCAUCGCAGCAGUCGGAUGGUUGAUAUCCGAGAGAGAUUAGGAGGCACGAUCCUCCUGUAUUUGAAUUUUAAUCUUCCACUCCAAUUGGUAUGCCUCUAUUCUUGCCAAGUUUAGUUUCCUUGGGUACAAAGGCACGAUAGGCCUAGAACUUGGUACUUUGUUUAGUAUUCAUUAAGUUCACCAAUCUAGUAGAUCUUCGUGCCUGGUUUAUAAAUGUAGUUGUAGCUAUAAAUAAAGCUAUAAUAUUGGCUAAAUUUCCAACCAUCACAGAUGCAUGCCAUUGUAUUGCAAUGCGAAUUACGUUGACACAACUGACAAAUGAAGGGGCAAAAGGCUCAAUAACAACAAAGAUGCAUUGAAAAUGUUGAGGAAAUAUUGCCGUGCAAAAUAUGCAGGAGAUACAAAUGGGCGUAGGAUAUUUUCUAGAUUCAUGUUGGUUCUUCCUUAAGGAGUCCCUUCUCUCGGAAGCUCUUGAUGCAGUCAUUAAACAUCUGUGGGAGAGUUUUGAAACAUGGAAGCCCGAGUUCCCUGAUCUUGGUAGUGUCCAUGCUGUGUGGAUUGUUGUCACCUUCCUGGUCAUUGCACCUGUCGGUUCCAAUUCGAUGUCAGUAAUAUUGACUCAGGAGGCAUCUCCUGAUAACUAAAACAAUCAGGGAACAACAAAAGAGUAUCACUUGGAUGGCAUCGGAUAAGAUGGGUUGUUUGCUCUAAUCAUCUCCAUGAUCUCCGACCAGCGGGCAACACUACCGGAACAAAUGAGCCUUCCGGAGACUCUGCUGUCCUCCAUGGCAAGAAUGUGGCUGAAGAUUACAUCAUCAACGUGAACAAAUCCCAUGGUUGUGUUCGGGUACCAGGAAAUAUUUCCUUUAAGAAGAUGGUCAGGUUUUAACAGAGCAAGACUGAAGUGUUUGCGUGAUGUUUGUGAUUCAGAGCAUGAAAUUGGAACAUAGGUGUAUUUACCUUUCAAGAUGGAGAGUAUGAGGAGGAGGGUGCUCGUUGGUCGUGGUGCAAUUAAUGGUCCGACGACAAAAGAUGGAUUCACUACCACUAGAUUGAUGCCAAAAUGCUCUGCUAAUCUCCAUGCUUCCUUUUCAGCCAAUGUCUUCGCAUAUGCAUACCACAGCUGCCAUUUGGAGAUGCUUAAAUUAAUAAAGGGUAGACCCAGAGUUUUGUGCUGUGUCAAUGACAUCCAUCACAUACAGAUAGAGCGCAUCGCAGUUGGAUGUGAAGUUUGCCGAUAUGCUACUGACACAAGCUAAAACUUCUCAUCAGUUCUUUGUCAGUUAACUAACUUGCAUUGGGCAUCUGGGUUCCCUGCAAACACAUAUUUGUUUUGGCCAGGAAUCGUUUGCAGGGAAGGACCCUUUUUUUGGUGGGCCUGGCCAUCUGCUGGGAACCAGAUGCCAUAUACAAAUUAUUCAGCUGCAAAGAGUUGUUCGGAAGUGUUCUUCCCAGAUAGAUGAGCAAGCUCUUUGGGUAUCAUGAAAAGCACACUGCUGAAAACAUGUCAGGAAUAUGAGAAGGCUUACGUUGUAUCUUUUGCAGUAUUCGGGGUCGCUCCAGUGUGACUCGUUGAGUGGGGAAACCAGAGUGACAUCAUAUCGGUACCUGAUGGAAGAGCAGGAAGAGGUGAGGACGACACGCCUCACCGAGCUUGCUUUGGAGCAGGAUUUGAGCACAUUCGUAGUGCCUUGUAUGGCUGGAUCUAUCAGAGCUUGCUGCCAACAAUUGAACCUUAUCGUUAUAAUCCAACCAGCGCAGUGGCCAUCACCGGUUUGGAGGAAGAACUCGUUCAGCAGAGGCUUGACAGAUACAGCUGCCAGGUAUUAUAUCCUAACAUGAUAAAGACCAACGAGGAGGACCCAGCGCAGUGUUGUCGCCGAUCAUCUUGGAGAAAGCACAAAGGACCCACUAGUCGGGGGAUCUACCGAGGUUUAAUCGGAGAAGACAGACGAAUAUUUUGUCAAAAUUUUCCCUUAGCAGUCUACUCACAGAUCACAAUCAACAAGAAGGGAACAACAAUGGAGUUCAGUGUGCGUGCGUGGACCUGGACGUUUUGG